rnacentral:rRNA from 1 species
AAUCAACGCUGGCGGCGUGCCUAACACAUGCAAGUCGAACGCGAAAGUCCCGCAAGGGAUUAGUAGAGUGGCAAACGGGUGAGUAACACGUGGGUGACCUGCCUUCGAGUGGGGGAUAACGUCCCGAAAGGGACGCUAAUACCGCAUAACAUCCUGCCUUUGAAGAGGUGGAGAUCAAAGCUGGGGACCGCAAGGCCUGGCGCUGGAAGAGGGGCCCGCGUCUGAUUAGCUAGUUGGNGAGGUAACGGCUCACCAAGGCAACGAUCAGUAUCCGGCCUGAGAGGGCGGACGGACACACUGGGACUGAGACACGGCCCAGACUCCUACGGGAGGCAGCUAGNGGGGAAUUGUUCGCAAUGGGCGCAAGCCUGACGACGCAACGCCGCGUGGAGGAU